rnacentral:rRNA from 1 species
UCCUACGGGGGGCAGCAGUGAGGAAUAUUGGUCAAUGGGAGAGAUCCUGAACCAGCCAAGCCGCGUGAGGGAAGACGGCCCUAUGGGUUGUAAACCUCUUUUGUCGGAGAACAAAACCCGGGACGUGUCCCGGACUGCGUGUAUCCGAAGAAAAAGCAUCGGCUAACUCCGUGCCAGCAGCCGCGGUAAUACGGAGGAUGCGAGCGUUAUCCGGAAUGAUUGGGCGUAAAGGGUGCGUAGGCGGCCUGCUAAGUCUGGAGUGAAAGGUACCGGCUCAACCGGUACAGGCUCUGGAAACUGGCGGG